rnacentral:rRNA from 1 species
AUGGAAUUGAGUUUGUCUCAUACGCUUCAUCUUUUUAAUAUCUUUCGUAAGUAUGAUGGAAAGGAUAACUGUGCUCAAGUGCUAGAAGAAGAAAUCUAUAAAAUGUUUGGCUCUAAAUAUUUUAAUGAUGAGCAUGAUUGCAAUGUUGUUAGUAUGAAUUCCUUGAAUAUCCAUGAUGAUAAUGAUAUGCAAAGCCACAAGCUUGGGGAAGCUAUGUUUGAUGAAGAUGAGCAAAUUUUUUGUCCCCCAAGUUUUGAUGAGCAAAUUUAUUAUGAUGAAAGCAUGCCUCCUAUUUAUGACUAUUAUAUUGAUGAAAGUGGAUUUGGAGAGACUUUAUUUUGUGAUGAAUCUACUAUUUCGGAAGAGGUUCCAAUUGAUUAUGAGAACAAAGUUGCUAUCUAUGAUGAUUAUUGCGAUGAUUUGUAUGCUAUAAAGGAUAAUGAUAUCCAUGAAACUUGUCAUCAUGAUUUUAGUUUUCAAUUGGAUUAUGCCUCACAUGAUAAUUAUUUUGUUGAGUUUGCUCCCACUAUUAUUCAUGAGAAGAAUUUUUCUUGUGUGGAGAGUAGUAAAUUUUCUAUGCUUGUAGAUCAUGAAAAGAAUGCUUUAGGUGCUGGUUAUAUUGUUGAAUUCAUUCAUGAUGCUACUGAAAAUUAUUAUGAGGGAGGAACAUAUGCUUGUAGGAAUUGCAAUAAUAUCAAGUUUCCUCUCUAUGCGCUCAAAGUUUUGAAGUUAUGCUUGUUUUACCUUCCUAUGCAAGUUGAUUCAUGUUACCACAAGUUGUCUGCUCACAAAAUCCCUAUGCAUAGGAAGUAUGUUAGACUUAAAUGUGCUAGUCAUAUUCUUCAAGAUGCUCUCUUUAUGUUUCAAUUCUUAUCUUUUAUGUGA